GUAAAGGCCCUUUUCAGGGCCAUCCAUAAUUUCAUUUAAAUUCUUU
rfam:Schistosoma haematobium scaffold1544_27, whole genome shotgun sequence.